rnacentral:lncRNA from 1 species
CCACUCUGUAACUGUCACUCUGUAACUGCCACUCUGCAACGGCUUCCCACAUGGAUGGAGCCAUUGAGCAACUGGGCACCAAAAGCUAAGGGUGUCCUGAAGUUCACGGGCCUGGAGCAGCAGGCUGGGCCUUCCCUGAGACAGGAAUGAGGAUCAGGGCUUUGCGGACACCUCAGUGCGCUUUUCAAUGUGCUUUCCUGGGGCUACUGCACAGCCGGUGUCACAGCCGGUGACCUUCCUCCUCACUUGACUCUGGGGCUUGGUCCACAUCAUACCCAGCAGUCUUAAAACCUUCCACAGAAGGGGACAGCAAGGACCAGGUGUCCGAAGCCUUUCCCAUUGGCGCCUCUCCAGCUGCCUGCCCGUCUCCCAUUCUGAGGUCGCUCCACUGGCCCUCCAUGCUUCCCAGCUAGGGCCCUUUCUGCUCACACAGGGCCUGCCACAUUCCUGCUCCUGACAGCAGGCUCCUCCAGAUUAUGUCUGCAGAGGUUGAAGUCCAGACUUUCUAGGGAUGACUAUGCAGCCACUGAAUUGUUUUUUUAUAAGCCACCAACACAUUCAAAUGAGCACUGUGUUCUGAGAAGCCCCGAGGCCAGUUGGAAGAUGUACCAGUUCCCUUCAGUGGGCCCCCAGCUGACCUAUCGCACCGUUUUGGCUCCUCUGCUGUCAACCUUGACUUCCAGCCUAGACUUCCUCCUCUGAGAAGGCCAAGGUCCUAGGAACAGAGAUUAGGUGGCUUCUUGGUGAGUGCUAAGGUCCUCUGUGUGGGCCCUUCUGCCUGGGAUAGGAAGCAAGGCUGGCCAUCCUAACUCUGGACCUUUGUAUUGCCUGGUGCAGUGACCUCCUAGGGUGUGGUCCCAGCAAGCCAAUGGUCCCCAGGCUGAGGGAAGAUGUCAUGCACCUUCACAGGAGGUCCAGGCAUCAUCCAUGUAACCCCCACUCCUUCCCGGCCCUCUACCUCUCACCCUCUAUUUGUCCUCCACAGACUGGUCUAUGUGUCCUUUGCUGCAUCGGAAGGACGUGGUCUGCAAACCGUUCAAUGUUGGGCUUUGCCGAGGGGCUUUCUCUUAUCUCCCACUCUCCUUCCUCAGAACAGAAUUCAGCUGGUUUCAAUGUGGGGAUUAACGUAACCCAAGUGAGCAAUCUACUCUUCUGCAUGGAGAAUACUCUCAGGUGCGUUGUUUAGACGUGUUGUCUCCAGAUAGAGCUGUUCCACCCAGAUGGGAGCAAGGAUCGCCACACAAGGGAAAAUACAGACCUCCCAGUCGCCCCCUGUGGGUGGAGCUAUAGACUCAGUAAACACUGGCCUGGCAGAGGAGACUUCUCGGUGGAGCUGCCUCCAGGUUGUGCUGGAGACUUGGGAGUACAGCCUUUCUGAGUGCUCACCUAUGCCAACGGGACGGCAGGGGCUUUAUGGUUAUGCAGCGGUUCAUGUUAUGUAGCGGCCUGUGAGUAGCCUCCCAUCCAUGCUCCUGUCGCUGACCCCAAUAAAUUCGUCGGUUCAGCUCGAUUUGGGCAGACUGUUUCUUUGGUGGCCCAUUGUCCUGUCUCUUUGCUUCGUUGCCCCGAGUCCCUCAUAAAUAGACAUAUACUCUGCAAAUGAAACUCUGCUCUUAAAACAUCCAUUCCUUUGAGGCCCAUCUUCUAACCAGCCAACUCUAUGGGCUUCCCACCCCUGUCAUUCUAGCCACUGGCUGCUGGGGUUCCCCUGAGUGAUGUCUUUGGACAGGCCACUGACCAAUCUGUCUCAAACGGCAUUGACAAGCGUGGAGGUGCCAAGGGCGAACACAGGGUGAAGGAUGAGAGACCCGAUGACGAUUUUACUACUAACCUGUCCCAGAGGAGUGGACCGAGACUUGUCACCAAGGGAAGGAGACAGGAGUAAGGUGAAGAGAAGCCAGGGACUGAGCCUUUGCUGGGCCUGCACAGCAUGACCAUUGGAACUGGCUUCGGGGAGAAAUCAGGGUGGGGUGUGGGCUCCACAGGUGGCCUCUCUCGAGUUGGGGAAUGCUGGGAAAUUGGGGUUGUAACAGUAACUCUCUCUGUUCACCUCUCAGGGAUCCAGUAAGGUCUAAGAGGCGUUGUGGGUGGGGUGUGGGGUUUGGGUCAUGAAUUCCUGUGUCGUUUUUCUCCUGUAGGCAUGAAGUGAGAAUAAAACGGAAACGUCAGUUAACUUAGAAAGGGCAUGGAGGAGAAGAGCCAACGACCUAGAUCCGCAUGAGACUAGAGCCCGACUAAGUUAGUUCAAAUUACUGGGACAAAGUCACAGGCUAGCUUCUACCUCUUCUUCCUCAAGCUGCACAUGUAAGGACUUCAAAGACCAGCAUGCAUCUCGGGGCAGCAAAUGGGACUUGGAAAUACACUGAAUAUAUGAGGUGCCAGCUGAUCUUGGGAGGCUUAGGAUGUCCUCGGAGACAGGAAGAGUCAAAAAAGAUUUGGACAGGGUGGGAAUACUAAUGCCAGAGGGAUUCUGGGAGUCAAGGGAGGAGGGAGGGUUAGCCAGGGAGCACUGAGUACCAGACAGUGCUUAUCCCAGAGAGAUAAAAUGGAGGCUGGAACACUGGGCUCCUGAUCUUCACUUAUACCGCUCUGGACGUUCAAAACCCUUACCCAUCCUUCAUGGUAUUUAAUUCUCACAACACAGUAGGGCAGAUAUUCUUUCUCAGUGACCAGGAAAGGGGGCCUGGGGCUUACAGAUGGACAUAAAGAACAGCGAGGUGAGGCAGGACCAGAUUCUAAGCCAAGCCCUCUGCCUCUAAAUUCACUCUGAUUUUCAAAGAACAGGAACGUGAUGAAAAACACGUUUGAAUCCAUUGUAGUAACAGCUACCGUUUGUCGCGGGCUCCGAUGCGCCAGGCGCUAUGCUAAGAGCCUUGAAGUCAUCACUGUCACCAUGUUCCUGUGAGGAAGGUCCUCUAAUCCUCUACUGUGCUCAGGGGGGAGGAAGCUGAAGCCCAGAGAGAUUAAGACACUUGCCCACGGGGCAGAGCCGUGAUUGGAACCAAGAUGAAUCUGGCUUCAAAUCUGUGUGUGUGACCUUUGUAAUAUUUUGCCUGUUCCUCAAAGAGGAGGACUCCGGGGGCCUUUGUCCCCACGACCUGAUGCUGUUUGAAAAGAUAUGAAGAAGGAAGGCAGCUCUCCAAACCUUCAGCUUAGCUGAGCUGCAAGCAGCACACAGCUUCCUUGGGAUGGGUAAGGAAGAAGGCUGGCUGAGCGCUGGGUACACGGUCCACAGGCGACCCACUCAGACCAGGACUUCACGCCAGUGGCCACCUCCUUUCUCCCAAGGCCUAGAUAAAGUCACCUUGCCAGUGUCUUCCCAGUGGAGUCUGUAGUAAAGGGGGCCAUGGUGCUUUUGAACUUGAAAUAUCUCCACAGGCUUGUGUUCAGAAAAUUUAGUUUCCUAUUUAUGGUACUGUUUUGAAAAAUAUAGGGCUUGUAAGAGGUGGGGCCUGCUUGGUAGAAAGAGGCAUGAGAAGUGGGCCUUCAAUAGUUAUACCAGUCCCUGUUCCUGGCCUGUGUAUUCUACUUUAAGAUCAGCCACUGUGUGAGGAGCUAUCCUACCCCAUGGGCCCACUGCUUUGGACAGAACGGCUCCUUCCUUCCUCCCGGCCAGGAUGGACUGAAAGCCCUCAGAAGCUGAGAGUCUAAAUCUUUCCCUCCUCGUAUUGGAGGAGUCCUGAUGUGUUUGGUCCUGAUGACACAGACAUUCAUGAUAAGGCACCGUGAGUCUCUGGUUUUCCAAGCAGUACUAUGGGGCCUGGAGGACCUCCCCUGGGUGCCCAGAGACUCCUGUCCCCAAGUGUCCCUGGAAAGUCUUUCUGUUUUGGUUCUGAGUCCUCAGCUCACAGAAGGACUCUUGGCACAGCAAAAACACUUCACAAAUAUGGGUGGGAUGAAAGAGCAAACCCGUGAAUGGGUGUGCCCAGAUUUCCUUCUGUGAUUGUCCUAUGCCUGGACUAGACUGGUCCAGGCUCAGUAGAGCCUGGGGUGUAUGUCUGUGCACCCUACUUCAAAAGACCCUCCAGGCUGAAGGUCAUUUUCCUCCCCUCUGUCUACCAUUUCUGCCUGAGAUCUCUGCUAAGACCCUUAGAGAAGUCCUUAGUCUUUAGGCCCCUGGCAGGAGGUGGGGUUCUCCAGUCUUGCCUGCCCUCCUCUGUCUUGCUGUAGGAUGGAUGGGGGGUAAGGAAUAAAUGAGUCUUAAGUUACACUUGUAGUUGCUCCACCAGCUGGAGAAAGGAGAAUAUAGGAACAGAUGUACUGUUUCCUACUGGAAGGUACAGAAGGGGAGACUGGCUAUUUCGGAAGGGAAGGUGGUUAAUACAGGUAAGUUAUAAUUAUCUCUGCUUUCUG